UAUUUAACGGCAAGGGAAAAUCGUACGAUAUUUAAUGUAACCAUUACGACAAUUAACAGUGUAGAAGAUUUUGCGACAUUUAGCGACGGUUACGAUAAUUAGAAGGAAUUACAACAUUUAGCGGCGUUGAAACAAAUAACGGUGUUUCAUUCUGUCUAAAAGUUUGCCAAACUGCAGUUUUUAGGUGAAUGUGAUUUAUUUCUCUCUAUUUUAGUAUAUAAAUUAAAUACAUCAUAUUCACAAAAUAAAAAGUCCAUAUUUGUUUAAAUGCACUCGACCUUGAUGAUUGUUUCGUAAAAUAAAUUAGGACGAAUGUUUAACAUGCAAUACUUCAAAUGAGCGUUAACAGAACAACACUACCGACAACUGUCAAAAAUGCGGAAGUUUCGAGGAUAAUGUGUACGUCAUUCCAGAUGUAAUUCAUUAAAAUAAUUCAACAAUAAAGGAUUACCAUAAAAUUGUUUUCAUUUGCUCAGGUUGUUUUUGUUUGCGUCUUAUUUAUUUGGUACCUGGGAGCGAAUUCUGCGAAAUGUUAAAAAAAACAUCCGGUAUAAUGCAUUAUAAAUAGACUACUUAUCUUGACAAUUUAGUACACAGUACAGAAACCUGGCUGUUUAAAAGAUGAAGCUUGGCGUGGAAAGUUUUGUUGUUUGGUUUUUCAUUAACAUUGCUAUUAUAAGUGUGCACGGUGCGGCACAUUCCUCCACGAGAUGUAUACACGCAUGUGGAAACACAUUUUCAACUAACUUGCGACGGACGUGUCGCGAAUGCUCUGCCGACCCACCCAUUGACUACGACAUGUGCAGUAACGCGUGCGGCAAUACAUUUUCAAGCUACCUCAGGCAGAUAUGUGAUAAGUGUGUAACACGCGUACCUUUGACUGACAGAAUGUGUAUAAAAGCUUGUGGCAACACGUUUUCUAGUCAAUAUCGACGAAUAUGCAACCGAUGUGUUCGGACUCCACCAAUUACGGACACCAUGUGUAUAAAUGCGUGUGGGAACACAUUUUCAUCAAACCUAAGAUCAGUAUGUCGGAAAUGUGUUUCAAGACCUCCAAUUACUGAUGCAAUGUGCAUACAUGCAUGUGGCAAUACAUUUUCCUCGAACUUUAGAAGGAUAUGCAAUGCUUGUAGUUAAACAGUUAUUUCUUGAAUGGUAAUUAUUUUACUUUCUUAAAAACAUAUAGUACAUAUUUCUCAAGAGUGAUUUUCUUGAAAUAGUUUGUAUCAUCUGGAAGCAUGUACCUUUAACAUAUUUAUUCAGUUUUUAGUAUGCGUUAACAAUACAAAUAAUGGCAUAUUAAACAAAGUUAUCCUAUUAUUUAGCAUAAAGAUAUUUAAAUAAAUUUUUCGUAUUGAAAUGAAGUCUUGAGUUUAAUCAAUGUUAUUGUAUUUUAACCAUUUGUAUAUUUAUCAUAAGUUAUGUAUUAUAUACAAAGCAGAAAAAGGCAAAAAAAAAACGAACUGUUAUUUACCUGCCUUCAAAGUCUUAUUUCUUAUUUUUAUGCCUAAUAUGCCUUUCUUACAUUAUUCAUAAGAAAUAUUUUAUAACAAGAAUUCACUUCUAUAAACAUUUUAUAAACAAUCUUUGCGACAAAAAUACAUGAGAGAAUUAUAAACUUUAGAGAAUUAGUGAAGUUAUUUCUCGUCAGUUGCUUAAAUUAACCUUUUAACAAACCAUCCACUUUACAUUAAACUUAAAGGCACAUUAUUCGCCAGAAACGAAUAGUUUUUUUUUUCAUUUUUAGAAAGGGCAAACAUAAAUAUUAUAACAUUUAGAUCAUGGUUUUUAGAUCAUGUUUAAUGUUUUUACAGAAAGAACGUGUGUGAAAUAUUUUUUCAUAAAAGUAGCAAAAUGUUACAAAAAGUUACUUUGACUUUAAUACAAAAUAAUUCAUUACUAUAACUGCACUAAUUGUCAAAGGGCAACUGAGGAAAAAGAUGGUUCAGGUGAAUGACAGAAGAGUAUCAUUUUUUGAUAAAGCAGGAAAUAAGAAAAUAAAAAAAAAGCUUUUAAGAAAUAAAAAUUAAAGCAUUUAAUGGGCAUCAUGAUGGGACUUUAAAGAAAAACAAGUUCAGUCAUUGUGGGAUGAAUUGUCAUUGAAAAUGAACAAAAGAAAACCCAAACAAACAACAUCAGUGACAACAAACAAACAAACAACCACAACAUCAUAAAUUUAUCUGAGUCAUAUUCUAUAAAUAAAACACACCUGAGAACUUUAAAUUCUCAUAGAAAGAUAAAAUCUGAGAGGAAAUAUAUCUGAGUUUCCAAACUUUUCAUAUCAUUAAAAUAUCUGUAAAGAAAGAGAAAAAGUAAAAAAAAUAAUACGCUGAGGUUUGUUUCUAAAAAGCUUUAAUAAUUUAAGUAUUAUAAUUUGACGACCACAAUUUAUGCCAGAUAAAAAACAUUUGUGGGUGUUUUUCAUUCAGCAACCCCGGGUGUCGUGUUUUUUACCUUCGAAUUUGUACUAUAUUCCUCGGGAAAUACACUAUGAAAAAUGACUAUACUCAAAUGCUUUCAGCAACAAUAAUUCAGGUUCUUUUUCAUGUUUUAAUAAACCGUGAGAAGCUUGUACAAAUACGGGUACUCUGCACCUUCUCUCGUUAAAUUCAGUGUAGUAACAUCAAAAAAAUAUUGAAAAUAAAAAACUUGAAUUGGGCAAAAAUGUGCGUGUUCCUUAUUCUUAAGGUCUCGUGGUAUCGCUACACGUUAAACUUGAAGAGUCUGGUGUCAUUAAAAAAUUUAAAGUACUAUAAACACACAUUUUGACGUUUCUUAAAAGUGCUUUUGAUUUUUUAGUUUUCUGUUUUAAUUUCGAAAAAGUGACUGAUCGGUCAUUUACCUGAACAAUCUUGCGGCUGUUAAUAUUUGGCAUAGUAAUUAAGUAUUUUGUAUAAAAGUCAAAUAGAAUCUACUAAUUCGUUUAAAUUUUGCUUCUUUUAUUACAAAUAAUUUCACAUUCACCCCUACUUUUUUCAAGUGAGAAGCAGCUGUCAUGCUCUUAAAUCGUUAUUUUAACGUUAAAAGUGUUUGGAAUUAUUUUUUGUGCAAUAGAAUUACAGUAUUUCAAAUGAAUCGUAACACAUUACAUGUAUUUUGAUAAAUCGGCAAACUGUUAUGCAGGCGUCACACUGUCCCGAAUUGGGCAUCAGGUGGACACACGAAUAAGAAAAUGUUCAAAUUCGGAUCUAAUCGUAAUAACAUCGUGCCAUUCGUGAGGGCAUCUUUUGCCAUCGUAUAAUAACGGAAUGCCGUUUGGGCCAUUGCCUAUGAAUGUGUUGAUCUGAAACGCGAUAGUCGAUAGUACGAUGGUGAAAACGCGAAAUCACGAAACUACGAUGGUGAAAACGCGAAAGUACGAUGAUGAAAACGCGAAAGUACGAUGAUGAAAACGCGACAGUACGAUACUACGAUGAUGAAAACGCGAUAAACUAUCGUGUUUUCACCAUCGUACUGUCGCGUUUUCACCAUCGUAGUUUCGUGAUUUCGAGUUUUCAUCAUCGUACUGUCGUGUUUUCAUCAUCGUACUAUCGCGUUUUCACCAUCGUCCUAUCGCGUUUUCAUCAUCGUACUGUCGUGUUUUCAUCAUCGUACUAUCGCGUUUUCACCAUCGUACUGUCGUGUUUUCAUCAUCGUACUAUCGCGUUUUCAUCAUCGUACUAUCGCGUUUUCAUCAUCGUACUAUCGUGUUUUCACCAUCGUAGUUUCGUGAUUUCGUGUUUUCACCAUCGUACUAUCGACUAUCGCGCUUCAGAUUAACACAUUCAUAGGCGAUGGCCCUUACGUGUUGAAUAUAACAUGUACAGGACAUUUAGACACGGUUACGUAAUAGUAUUUAAGAAAUGUUUUUAUAUUGUUUUAUUUUGAAAUGGUAUUUGUAUUUUAGGUAGCUAGAUUGCGAGAUAUGCAUGUCUUGUUAGCAGUGAUUUCAGUGGUGUUUGGUGGCUUUUCUUUGGUCAUGUAUCCUAUAGGUUUAGAGUUAGCCGUGGAGGUGACAUUUCCUGUAGCCGCGGCAACAAGUUCGGGACUUUGCAUUAUAAGUGGAGCAACUCAGGGUAUAGCAGUUAUGUUUGCCAUGCAGUUUUUGGCACGUCCGUUGCCGAAUUGGGAGCGUAAACUGCAAUCUUGGUGUUUGCAGGAUGGCGCAUUUAUACCACAGGAUUUUACAUAUUCAUUUCUGUGGAUGGCAUGUUGUUAAACUACGGCAACAUUUGUGAUACUUGUGCUAUUUUUCCGACCAAAAUAUAAACGAUUAAUAGAAGAGAAAAAAGCUUUGUCGAACUCUAAAACCAAAGUUUCUGUGAUAAAUAAAGAAGACUCGUCUAACAAUAGCACUGAGGUUACAAAAAUCUGACACCCAACUAACCUUUAGUUAAUCUUAAUUUUGUUUAAGCGUUUUGUUGAACGUGACCGUUAUCUGUACCAUAGUUUACAAUGUCAAUGUUUUGUUGACUGCGGCACUUAUAUUUAUCCUAGUUUAACACUAUAUGGUAAUUGUUUCGUUGUCUGUGGUUGUUAUUAUAACCUUUGUUUUACACCGUGUUGUCAGUGUUUUGUUAUCCGUGACCGUUACCUUAGGUUUACAUUGUCGUCAGGGAUUUGUUUUUUGCGACUAUUUUGAAUAGGUCGUAGUCAUUUCUUGGCAGGUAGUUCAACUGGCUGUUUUCUGUUGUUUUUAUAGCUUUGAAUAUUUCGUGAUAACUUUAUAAGUUUAAGUGUUUUUUUUUGUGCCAGUCAUUUUUUCCACUAGAGUGAUAUUGACUUCAUUAUUUAUACCACGGUGUUCUAUACAAGUCAUAUCUAAAGAAUCACAAAUGGCUGUUGUACUCGAAGAUUUCCAAUGUGCGCGAUGUUUAAUGACCAACGAUAACAAGUGUAACUUGAAUUUAACUGAUAACUCCGUUCUCUAGAAUACAAGAUCUGACAUAAGCCCGAGUGUAUGGUCAAGGUUAAUUUAUCAUUACCAGUUCAAAGCAAAAUGUCCUUGUACCAUACAACAAGAAAUUACUAGUACCCAACUUAACCACGUGAUUUUAACUGAAAGGAUAUUCCUGUUUUAUUCAUUUAUACCCUCACAUCAAUUAUGAAAUUUAUUAUUGCACUGUUUUUGUUUUAAUCAAGCUAAUGAUAUUACAUCGUUUUAGAGUAAUUGUGCCAUUAUGUUAUUGUAAUUAUAUAUCCAUAUUUUUAUGAUAUUUAAAAAAAAUAUAUUGUAAAUG